CAGUAGCCACGGUAAUACAGAGGGUGCAAGCGUUAAUCGGAAUUACUGGGCGUAAAGUGCGCGUAGGUGGUUUGUUAAGUUGGAUGUGAAAUCCCCGGGCUCAACCUGGGAACUGCAUCCAAAACUGGCAAGCUAGAGUAUGGUAGAGGGUGGUGGAAUUUCCUGUGUAGCGGUGAAAUGCGUAGAUAUAGGAAGGAACACCAGUGGCGAAGGCGACCACCUGGACUGAUACUGACACUGAGGUGCGAAAGCGUGGGGAGCAAACAGGAUUAGAUACCCCCGUAGUCCCUGUCUCUUAUAC
rnacentral:rRNA from 1 species